rnacentral:misc_RNA from 1 species
UUGAAGUUUGUAAGUCUUUGAUUUUUUUUAAUUUGGAUUUGACUUUAUAUGCUGGAUUUGUGAAUUUGAGCAAGAACUAUUUUUUGGUAAAUUUUUUGCAAAAUUUCUAUUAAAUGCAUUUCCAAUAUUGACGAAAUUGAUUGAUUAAAUUAUAGGAAAGCAAUGCAUAUUGGACUAGGAUUACCUGAUCUGCUGUGGGAAGGCAAGAGAAUGACGAAGCUUUAUUAGUCUAGAAUCAUUCUAUUACAUCUAUUUAUUAUAGGAAAGCAACGGAUGACUCAUAAUUGACAAGUAUUACCUUAUUCCCAAUGUUUAGGAAGAGAUUUAUAAUAAGAAUUAUUAGAAAUGACUGAUCAUAUGUUUGCAUUAGAUAGUUAUUUAUUGAUUGCAUAUAAAAUCGAGAGCUUUAUGGUGAUUAAAAAGCAUGUGCUUUGUAUAUUUUUAAUGUAAUAGCUGUAAGGUAUUUUUGAAGUUUGGCAACUUCGUUGGUUUUAUUUCCUUGUGUUUUAUGCAGCCAUUAGUUCUGAUGGGAUGAGAUGGAAGACACGUAGUUUUUGAAAAUUGAAUCUGUUAACCCUUUGCCUUGCAAUUGCGAUAACUGAUUUGAUAGUGUUUGGGGCGGACUUGAUUGUUAGACUGCAAGUUUCAUGAUGAACCUAUCAGAG